UGGGGAAUAUUGCGCAAUGGCCGAAAGGCUGACGCAGCGACGCCGCGUGGGGGAUGAAGCAUUUCGGUGUGUAAACCCCUGUUGCCCGGGACGAACAAGCAGAUUUUUCUGCUCUGACGGUACCGGGUGAGGAAGCACCUGCUAACUCCGUGCCAGCAGCCGCGGUAAUACGGAGGGUGCGAGCGUUGUCCGGAAUCACUGGGCGUAAAGGUCGCGUAGGCGGUCUGCUAAGCGUGCGGUGAAAGCCCGGGGCUCAACCCCGGGUCUGCCGUGCGAACUGGUGGACUAGAGCACUGUAGAGNCAGGUGGAAUCCCGGGUGUAGCGGUGGAAUGCGUAGAGAUCCGGAAGAACGCCGGUGGCGAAGGCGGCCUGCUGGGCAGUAGCUGACGCUGAGGCGCGACAGCGUGGGGAGCAAACA
rnacentral:rRNA from 1 species